rnacentral:rRNA from 1 species
AACGAACGCUGGCGGCAGGCUUAACACAUGCAAGUCGAGCGCCCCGCAAGGGGAGCGGCAGACGGGUGAGUAACGCGUGGGAAUCUACCCAUCUCUACGGAAUAACGCAUGGAAACGUGUGCUAAUACCGUAUACGUCCUUCGGGAGAAAGAUUUAUCGGAGAUGGAUGAGCCCGCGUUGGAUUAGCUAGUUGGUGGGGUAAAGGCCUACCAAGGCGACGAUCCAUAGCUGGUCUGAGAGGAUGAUCAGCCACACUGGGACUGAGACACGGCCCAGACUCCUACGGGAGGCGGCAGUGGGGAAUAUUGGACAAUGGGCGCAAGCCUGAUCCAGCCAUGCCGCGUGAGUGAUGAGGGCCCUAGGGUUGUAAAGCUCUUCCACCGGUGAAGAUAAUGACGGUAACCGGAGAAGAAGCCCCGGCUAACUUCGUGCCAGCCGCCGCCGUAAUAC